rnacentral:rRNA from 1 species
UGCCCUAGUACGGCGAGUGAAGCGGCAACAGCUCAAAUUUGAAAGCUGGCUCCGGCCCGCGUUGUAAUUUGCAGAGGAUGCUUUUGGUGAGGUGCCUUCCGAGUUCCCUGGAACGGGACGCCACAGAGGGUGAGAGCCCCGUAUGGAUGGACACCAAACCUGUGUAAAGCUCCUUCAACGAGUCGAGUAGUUUGGGAAUGCUGCUCAAAAUGGGAGGUAAAUCUCUUCUAAAGCUAAAUACCGGCCAGAGACCGAUAGCGCACAAGUAGAGUGAUCGAAAGAUGAAAAGCACCUUGAAAAGGGGGUUAAACAGUACGUGAAAUUGUUGAAAGGGAAGCGUUUGUGACCAGACUUGCGCCGGGCAGCUCAUCAGGGGUUCUCCCCUGUGCACUCUGCCCGGCUCAGGCCAGCAUCGGUUCUCGUGGGAGGAUAAGAACGGUGGGAACGUGGCCCCCCUCCGGGGGGGUGUUAUAGCCCGCCGUACGAUACUCCCGUGGGGACCGAGGUUCGCGCUCCGCAAGGAUGCUGGCGUAAUGGUCAUCAACGACCCGUCUUG